GACGAACGCUGGCGGCGUGCUUAACAUAUGCAAGUCGAACGGAAAGGCCCUGCUUUUGUGGGGUGCUCGAGCGGCGAACGGGUGAGUAACACGUGAGUAACCUGCCCUUGACUUUGGGAUAACUUCAGGAAACUGGGGCUAAUACCGGAUAGGAGCUCCUGCUGCAUGGUGGGGGUUGGAAAGUUUCGGCGGUUGGGGAUGGACUCGCGGCUUAUCAGCUUGUUGGUGGGGUAGUGGCUUACCAAGGCUUUGACGGGUAGCCGGCCUGAGAGGGUGACCGGCCACAUUGGGACUGAGAUACGGCCCAGACUCCUACGGGAGGCAGCAGUGGGGAAUAUUGCACAAUGGGCGGAAGCCUGAUGCAGCAACGCCGCGUGCGGGAUGACGGCCUUCGGGUUGUAAACCGCUUUCGCCUGUGACGAAGCGUGAGUGACGGUAAUGGGUAAAGAAGCACCGGCUAACUACGUGCCAGCAGCCGCGGUGAUACGUAGGGUGCGAGCGUUGUCCGGAUUUAUUGGGCGUAAAGGGCUCGUAGGUGGUUGAUCGCGUCGGAAGUGUAAUCUUGGGGCUUAACCCUGAGCGUGCUUUCGAUACGGGUUGACUUGAGGAAGGUAGGGGAGAAUGGAAUUCCUGGUGGAGCGGUGGAAUGCGCAGAUAUCAGGAGGAACACCAGUGGCGAAGGCGGUUCUCUGGGCCUUUCCUGACGCUGAGGAGCGAAAGCGUGGGGAGCGAACAGGCUUAGAUACCCUGGUAGUCCACGCUGUAAACGGUGGGUACUAGGUGUGGGGUCCAUUCCACGGGUUCCGUGCCGUAGCUAACGCUUUAAGUACCCCGCCUGGGGAGUACGGCCGCAAGGCUAAAACUCAAAGGAAUUGACGGGGCCCCGCACAAGCGGCGGAGCAUGCGGAUUAAUUCGAUGCAACGCGUAGAACCUUACCUGGGUUUGACAUGGAUCGGGAGUGCUCAGAGAUGGGUGUGCCUCUUUUGGGGUCGGUUCACAGGUGGUGCAUGGCUGUCGUCAGCUCGUGUCGUGAGAUGUUGGGUUAAGUCCCGCAACGAGCGCAACCCUUGUUCACUGUUGCCAGCACGUUAUGGUGGGGACUCAGUGGAGACCGCCGGGGUCAACUCGGAGGAAGGUGGGGAUGACGUCAAGUCAUCAUGCCCCUUAUGUCCAGGGCUUCACGCAUGCUACAAUGGCUGGUACAGAGAGUGGCGAGCCUGUGAGGGUGAGCGAAUCUCGGAAAGCCGGUCUCAGUUCGGAUUGGGGUCUGCAACUCGACCUCAUGAAGUCGGAGUCGCUAGUAAUCGCAGAUCAGCAACGCUGCGGUGAAUACGUUCCCGGGGCU
rnacentral:rRNA from 1 species